CGCUCCUUGAAAAGGUUAGCUAAUAUAUAAGGAGUUCUGCCUGCCCAGUGACGUAGUUAAACGGCCGCGGUAUUUUGACCGUGCAAAGGUAGCAUAAUCAUUUGCCUCUUAAAUAGGGGCUGGUAUGAAUGGCAAGACGGAAAUUUGACUGUCUCUCUUUUAAAUGUUUUGAAAUUAAUUUCUUUGUGAAGAAGCAAAGAUUGGACCGAAGGACGAGAAGACCCUAUUGAGCUUAAGCUAGAUAUAAAUAGGUGUAAAUUAUUAUUUUUAUGCUAAUUAAUUCUUAUAGGAGUAAGAUUUUACUGUAAAAGAUUUUUGGACAAUAUUUAUUUUGUUUUGAUUGGGGCAAUCACGGAGUCAAUUAAACUUCCGGUGUAAAUUUAGAAAUUAAAAGUUACCAUUUUGAUAAAAUGUUUAUUUGUAGGUAGUGAUCCACUUGUUAGAGUGAAUAAAGGAAUAAGUUACCAUAGGGAUAACAGCGUAAUUUUUUUGGAGAGUUCAUAUUGAUAAAAAAGUUUGCGACCUCGAUGUUGGAUCGGGAUUUCCAGGAGAUGCAGAAGUUUCCAAGGGUUGGUCUGUUCGACCAUUAAAGUCCU
rnacentral:rRNA from 1 species